UACGUAGGGUGCUAGCGUUGUCCGGAAUUAUUGGGCGUAAAGGGCUCGUAGGCGGUUCGUUACGUCGGGAGUGAAAACCCAGGGCUCAACCCUGGGCCUGCUUCCGAUACGGGCAGACUAGAGGUAUGCAGGGGAGAAUGGAAUUCCUGGUGUAGCGGUGGAAUGCGCAGAUAUCAGGAGGAACACCGGUGGCGAAGGCGGGUCUCUGGGCAGUAACUGACGCUGAGGAGCGAAAGCGUGGGGAGCGAACAGG
rnacentral:rRNA from 1 species